UUUAUCAUUUUAAUCAUAUUUUCAAUCUAAACACUAAAAUAUAUUUUUAAACACAUAAACAUGAAUUCAAUGAAAACUGCUUAUUAUUUUAUAAAAUUCAUUGUAAACAACUUAUUUGAUUUUUUUUGUGAAGGUAUUAUUAAAUAGAAAUCAUGUUUUUGGCGGAGUAACAAACAUUAUAGGUAUUAAGACCAAUUAGAUGAUUCUAUUACAUAUUAUAACUGUUUCCUCGAAAAAAAUUGUAAUCAAUGAGUUAUUUGAAGUUUUCUUCAUUAUAUACUUUAUAAUAUUCAUUUAGAAGGUUUCUUAGGUUUACAGUAAGACGAUCAUAAGAAUACACACAAUCUCUCUCCCUCUAGAAUGUCAAAGAUGGGUUUUUAUUACCAAUUUCAUGUUGCAUACUCAUAACAUAUUUAUUCUUUUUGCUCUCUGCCUUGGAAGCAUAAGGCGCUUUCUCCUAUGUUACACAUUCAAACAACAACAAAAAUCUGUAGUUUUCUUCUUCCUUCCUAUUAUUUGAAGUAUGAAGAAAUCGAAAUCAAAUACAAGUGAGAGAAGUUCUGAAGAUAUUAGAUUCAUAAAACGGAAAAAGAAACCUAUGAUAGGUGCUCCUAAACGGGGCCAGCUUAACAUAACCAGAGGCCCCAAGGCAGAAAGUUUUUUUGGGUCCCCUAACUAGUCGGUUUUAAAAAUAUUAUGUUUCUUUGACUUUUCAACUCAGGCAUAGCAUCAUUUAAGAAUUUGUAUUUGAUUUUCUAGUUAAAAAAAUCUGUAAUAUUAUGUUUUUAUACUAUCCAAAUCUAAACAAAACAUGCUAAAAAAAAGAAUGAAAGCCCUUAACAUAACAUGAUUUGAAGCAGGCAUGGGAUGGUCGCAUUAACCGACAUCCCUCAUAAAACGGCCCAGCUCAUCGCUUUAGCGUUCGAUUUUGUCUCCGGCCAUGUCGAGAAGAGACGGCGGCUGCAAAAGUCAGAGGUAGAAAAACUGAAGAUUAUAGUUUUUUCGUUUGUUUUUUAUUGCUAUUAAUAUGUUGAAGGGUAUUAUUGUCUUUUGACCUGUUAAUAAAAGUUAUAUUUCUGAUAUUUAGUUUGAGAUACUAUUUUGGAAUGAAAAUUGAAAAAUGGUAUUGACUAGAAUUGCCCUUUUAAAUAAAAUUACUAUAUUAUUAUAGAUAUUGCCUUUUUGAUAAUAAGAUAAUUUGGAAAUAAAUAUAAACAAAAAGUUAAUAAAAUAUAUUAAUAAUGAUAUUUUAAUAAUAAAAUUAACUCAAAUUGUAGUUAUCUAUAAGAAUCAAUACGAAAGUGACACAUAAGAUACUGACUUAUCAUAUAAUAUUAUACAGGUUUUCGAAAAUAAAGUUAGUCAAAACAAAUUUAGUUGCAGAUCUUUUCCAUUGACUACUACACGAAAGACAUACCAAUAAUUUGAAAAAUAUAUAUAUAUAUAUAUAUAUAUAUAUAUAUGUUUAUAUGUAUUGUUUUGAUCAUCAUAUAACAAAGGCAAACUUUUUGUGAAAAGAAUUAAUCAUCACAAUGUCGUCUUCCAGUUGCGCUAUCUUUUGCAUCAUCUUCGUUUUGCUUUUUGGUUGUCUUGAAAGUAGAAACAUGGAGGGGCUUGAGGAAAGCAAGAUAGAUUUACCAACGUGCUUUCCAUCAACUUGUCUACCUGGAGACUUUAAAUGUUAUUGCUGCAAUCUUGUAAAGGAGAUCAGAUUCUGUACACUUACCUACGAUGUGUGUGCGGAGGACUGUCAGCCCAAAGCAUAAUUAAUCAAGCAACCUCCUUCAAAGAUUCAAGAAUUAUGAAGAGCAUUAAAUACAUGUGUUCUUUGUAAAAUGUGAUCUUUAAAAAAAAAUGUGUUCUUUGUGAGUCUGUAUGAUUAAUAAAAAUAUAAGUGACUCCAAUACUUAUGCCUA